CCUGGGAUAGCUCAGUUGGUAGACCACAAGACUCUCAAUCUCAGGGCUGUUGGUUUGAGCCCUGUGAAAGAUUCCUGCA